UACGUAGGGGGCAAGCGUUGUCCGGAUUUACUGGGCGUAAAGAGCGCGCAGGCGGUCGUUCAAGUCGCGUGUGAAAGCCCCCGGCUCAACUGGGGAGGGUCACGCGAUACUGAUCGACUCGAAGGCAGGAGAGGGUAGUGGAAUUCCCGGUGUAGUGGUGAAAUGCGUAGAUAUCGGGAGGAACACCAGUGGCGAUGGCGACUACCUGGCCUGUUCUUGACGCUGAGGCGCGAAAGCUAGGGGAGCAAACGGG
rnacentral:rRNA from 1 species